AGAACGAACGCUGGCGGCAGGCUUAACACAUGCAAGUCGAACGGUUGUAGCAAUACAGCAGUGGCAGACGGGUGAGUAACACGUGGGAACCUUCCUAGGGGUACGGAACAACUCAGGGAAACUUGAGCUAAUACCGUAUACGUCCGUGAGGAGAAAGAUUUAUCGCCCCUAGACGGGCCCGCGUAGGAUUAGGUAGUUGGUGAGGUAACGGCUCAUCAAGCCUACGAUCCUUAGCUGAUCUGAGAGGAUGAUCAGCCACACUGGGACUGAGACACGGCCCAGACUCCUACGGGAGGCAGCAGUGGGGAAUCUUGGGACAAUGGGCGCAAGCCUGAUCCAG
rnacentral:rRNA from 1 species